UAGGUCUGAAGCCAGCGGCCAGGCCACGGGGAGGGCCCGGGAAGUUACACUUUGCAACCCUAAACACCAGAAGGUCAGAAUUUGGUUGGCAAG
rnacentral:lncRNA from 1 species